AUGAACGCUGGCGGCGUGCCUAAUACAUGCACGUCGAGCGAACGGACGAGAAGCUUGCUUUUCUGAUGUUAGCGGCGGACGGGUGAGUAACACGUGGAUAACCUACCUAUAAGACUGGGAUAACUUCGGGAAACCGGAGCUAAUACCGGAUAAUAUUUUGAACCGCAUGGUUCAAAAGUGAAAGACGGUCUUGCUGUCACUUAUAGAUGGAUCCGCGCUGCAUUAGCUAGUUGGUAAGGUAACGGCUUACCAAGGCAACGAUGCAUAGCCGACCUGAGAGGGUGAUCGGCCACACUGGAACUGAGACACGGUCCAGACUCCUACGGGAGGCAGCAGUAGGGAAUCUUCCGCAAUGGGCGAAGGCCUGACGGAGCAACGCCGCGUGAGUGAUGAAGGUCUUCGGAUCGUAAAACUCUGUUAUUAGGGAAGAACAUAUGUGUAAGUAACUGUGCACAUCUUGACGGUACCUAAUCAGAAAGCCACGGCUAACUACGUG
rnacentral:rRNA from 1 species